UACGUAGGGGGCAAGCGUUGUCCGGAUUUAUUGGGCGUAAAGAGCGUGUAGGCGGCCAGACAGGUCAGCUGUGAAAACUCGAGGCUCAACCUCGAGACGUCGGUUGAAACCGUCUGGCUAGAGUCCGGAAGAGGAGAGUGGAAUUCCCGGUGUAGCGGUGAAAUGCGCAGAUAUCGGGAAGAACCCCCGUGGCGAAGGCGGCUCUCUGGGACGGUACUGACGCUGAGACGCGAAAGCGUGGGGAGCGAACAGG
rnacentral:rRNA from 1 species